AUGUGAAAUAUGCCCUCCGGGCAUGUGUAAGUUAGUGUGCUUCGCACGUGAUAUUUGCCGGAGGCAAAUAUAUCAACG
rnacentral:misc_RNA from 1 species